UACGUAGGGGGCAAGCGUUGUCCGGAAUCAUUGGGCGUAAAGCGCGUGUAGGCGGUCCGGUAAGUCCGCUGUGAAAGUCGGGGGCUCAACCCUCGGAUGCCGGUGGAUACUGUCGGGCUUGAGUACGGAAGAGGCGAAGUGGAAUUCCUGGUGGUAGCGGUGAAAUGCGCAGAUAUCAGGAGGAACACCAAUUGCGAAGGCAG
rnacentral:rRNA from 1 species